UUCAACAACGGAUCUCUUGGUUCUGGCAUCGAUGAAGAACGCAGCGAAAUGCGAUAAGUAAUGUGAAUUGCAGAAUUCAGUGAAUCAUCGAAUCUUUGAACGCACAUUGCGCCCUCUGGUAUUCCGGAGGGCAUGCCUGUUCGAGCGUCAUUUCACCACUCCAGCCUCGCUGGGUCUUGGGCGCC
rnacentral:rRNA from 1 species